rnacentral:tRNA from 1 species
UCCCUGGUGGCUCAGAGGUUAAAGCAUCUGCCUGCAAUGUGGGAGACCUGGGUUCGAUACCUGGGUUGGGAA